rnacentral:rRNA from 1 species
UACGGAGGGGGCUAGCGUUGUUCGGAAUUACUGGGCGUAAAGCGCACGUAGGCGGCUUUGUAAGUUAGAGGUGAAAGCCCGGGGCUCAACUCCGGAAUUGCCUUUAAGUAGCAUCGCUAGAAUUGUGGAGAGGUAAGUGGAAUUCCGAGUGUAGAGGUGAAAUUCGUAGAUAUUCGGAAAGAACACCAGUGGCGAAGGCGACUUACUGGACACAUAUUGACGCUGAGGUGCGAAAGCGUGGGGAGCAAACAGG